GUAUGGAUCAUUACCGUUCGUUCUUGAUUGUCUACAAUCAUUAACAACAAAACUUCUAUUUCGCGCAAUCAUCAUACAUUAUGUAUGUGAUUGUGUCGCACCAUUAUGUAAAUAACAAGUCAUCGUCAUAUAUCUUGAGGGUGACUUGUCAUUACAACUUUUCCAUAUUCAACAAAUCAUUGUUGUUUGUCAUUGAAUAUGAAUCGAAUCGAGACAUACAUAAACAGAAAAAAAUAUCAUUCUGUACGGUGGAUCACUCGGCUCGUUAUUCGAUGAAGAGCGCAGCAAAGUGCGAGAAAGCAAUGCGAAUUGCAGGACACAUUGAGCAUGAAUAACUCGAACGCAUCUAGCAGCCAAAACUUUAGUUGAGGCUAAAUUUGCUUCAGUCUUGUUUACAUAACAUCAAAUUCAUUUUGUCUAUCAACGUCAAAAUGAAUUGCUGGCAAGUUCAAUAGAAUCAUUGAUUUUAUUUAGCUUGCAAUACAUAUUUUCAUAUACAUGAUAUACACAUACAUAUGUGUUCGUCGUUGUAUUACGUUUCAAACGAAGUUAUACACAAUACACAAAAAUAUACAUAUCUAUAUUUAUUUGUGUUGAUUGUCAUAACAUGAGAAAUCUUUAUCAUAUCCGUGUUAUUGACAGUAAAAAAACAACCAUUUAAAUUUGUAUUUUGAUGUGUGUGUAGAUCAUGAUUGCGUCUAUACGCAGUCAUUGAUAAUAACAACACUACUUUUCACAUUUCAAGCUGAAGUCAAAUUAGAAGACUUGCUGAACUUAAGCAUAUUAAUAAGCAAAGGAAAAGAAAUCAACUGAGAUUGCCUUAGUAAUGGCGAAUGAACCGGCAAAAGCUCAUUGCUGAAGCGUGUUGAAUUCACUUUUGACAUGCAUUGUAGCAUUUGGGGUGACUAUUGUAUGGUGCCUGUUCGUGUGAGUUCCUUUGAUCAGGGCUUUAACCAUAGAAGGUGCUAGUCCUAUAAUCACGAAUAGUUUGUGCUGUACAUUGUACACCUUUCGAGUAGCGUAGUUUGAGAUUGCUACGCCAACGUGGGACGUAAACUUGUUCCAAAGCUAAAUAUUAUAACGAGACCGAUAGCGAACAAGUACCGUGAGGGAAAGUUGAAAAGCACUCUGAAGAGAGAGUUAAAUAGUACGUAAAACCGUACAGAAGAAAACGAAUGGCCGCAUUCAUCAGAUUACCUUGGAUUCAAUUCGACCUCCUUAUGAUGGUAAGACAUGUUGAUUGCGAACUUCAACAGUCCAUUGAUAUGUUCUUGCCUGGAGUCGAGUGCAUUUUCAGGGUAUUAACUGAACCUGGAUCUAUAACUUAAAGCUAGUCGAAUCAGCCGAUUUUGGUGGCGAGUUUACUCGUGUUAAAAAUCUGGCUUGCAUAAAUAACAAAUUCGACUUGGCGUUAUAGGUGAACAGACAUGUUUUUGAUUUCAGUACUCUAGUACGGCAUGCCAUGAGCAUUGUUUGUGUCGCAUGGGUAACUAAUGGCCAAAACCAUUAGCUUUAUUCAUUGUCGGUGCCUAAUGUUUUGUGGCUGUCAAUGAAAUCGGCAAGUCUACAGGAGUUUUGAAUGCCGAGUUAUUCGACCCGUCUUGAAACACGGUCUAAGGAGUUCACUGCAUGUGCAAGAGUUCGGCUGUAUGAAAAGCCUUGCUCGUAAUGAAAGUAAAGAACAUUCUUGCAAUGUUUUAAGUGUGAUUUCUGUCAUCUGGUGCAAAUCAUGACCAUGAACGCAACACUGACAGGUUCUAUUACCGCUGGUAAAGAGCUUAGUAAGAGUAUAUGCAAUGAGACCCGAAAGAUGGUGAACUUAACAUGUGUAGAAUGAAGCCAGGGGAAACCCUGGUGGAAGUUCGUAGCGGUUCUGACGUGCAAAUCGAUCGUCAAACAUGUGUUAAGGGGCGAAAGACUAAUCGAACCAUCUAGUAGCUGGUUCCGUC
rnacentral:misc_RNA from 1 species